rnacentral:lncRNA from 1 species
AAGCCCUUGCUCAGCUCAGCUGAAUCCAGCCUCUCCAUAACAUCACGAUGUUUCUUUACCUGCUUUCUCAUCCCUCCUUUGCUAAGAGAAGAAAGAAAAGGGGCUGAUGGACCUUAACCUUCAUUGAUAGUUCAUUCUGGCUUCCUCCAGACUGAAAAGGAAAUAGCACUGAGUCUCUUCUCUGCCUUGGAGCCUACAUUAUUGAUAUUCUUUCAUCAUUAUGUAGGAACAUAAAGCUUCUGUUAUGUUGCAAUU